rnacentral:rRNA from 1 species
CCUAGCCUACGGGGGGCAGCAGUCGGGAAUAUUGCGCAAUGGAGGAAACUCUGACGCAGUGACGCCGCGUAUAGGAAGAAGGUUUUCGGAUUGUAAACUAUUGUCGAUAGGGAAGAAAAAAGACUGUACCUAUCAAGAAAGCUCCGGCUAACUACGUGCCAGCAGCCGCGGUAAUACGGAGGGUGCAAGCGUUGUCCGGAAUCAUUGGGCGUAAAGAGUUCGUAGGCGGUAUGUUAAGUCUGGUGUUAAAUGCAGAAGCUCAACUUCUGUUCGGCACUGGAUACUGGCAAACUAGCAUGCGGUAG